AGCGCUGGACGGGCCGUCGAGGGCCUGCGUGCCCUUUGCUCCUUGGGGCACGGCGCUGGGACCCAGGAGGACCCGGCUUGAGUCCUGGACAUGCGGAUUUCUAGAGUCAGGCAGGGGAGGCAUCCGGCCUCUGGAAGGCUGGGCUUCAGGUAGUGAAGGCGGUGUGUCACUGCGGUGGUAUCUGGGAGGCGUGCCGAGCCUCUCCGUGUGCGCGUCCCUCCAGAAAUCUCCACAUCCCCCUGCUUCUCUCUCCACCAGAGCCGCCUCUCCCUCUGCGACUGCCUGCCUGCCUGCCUGCCUGCCUGCCUGCCUGCCUGCCUGUGCCAAGAAGCCUACCCGAAUCGAGGGAAGAGAGAACGAUGCCCGGGAGCGCCUUAACUUCACGCCGGGCGCAAGGGCGGAAGGGGGCCGAUUGGUUGACAGCCGGCUGCCUUGCCUUAAGAAGCAGGGCGUCUGAUGUCAAGCCGCCUCUCCCUCUGCCGACUGCCUGCCUGCCUGCCUGCCUGCCUGCCUGCCUGCCUGCCUGUGCCAAGAAGCCUACCCGAAUCGAGGGAAGAGAGAACGAUGCCCGGGAGCGCCUUAACUUCACGCCGGGCGCAAGGGCGGAAGGGGGCCGAUUGGUUGACAGCCGGCUGCCUUGCCUUAAGAAGCAGGGCGUCUGAUGUCAGUGAGUGGGGGCGGUUUCGUUGGGGCGAGAGGCCUGGCCGACCUUGCGAGGGUCUUCCCCACGCCCCUGGUGCAUUUCAACGUGCGGCGAGGGUGAGGGGGUGUGGAGAUCACGCUGGCGAGUGCCCCAGGCCCCUGCAGACCAGGCCGCUUUUCUCCCCCUGGGGGUGCCAGAGAAGGGCAGAGCGUUGCUGUUACGGCAGGUGUCCGCCAGACGGCGCCAAAGCGCCGGCAGAGCUGCUCUGGCUCUGCCUGGCUGCAACUCCAGGCUCAGAAUGGGCCUGGAGCAGGAUGGAAGGAAACGCAAGGAGGGCCCAGACAGAGCCUUGUGUUGGUACCUGUGACGCUGUGGCCGUUUUGUGUCAACAUGCAGUCUGUGCCCCAGCAACUGGAGCGCUGGACGGGCCGUCGAGGGCCUGCGUGCCCUUUGCUCCUUGGGGGGCACGGCGCUGGGACCCAGGAGGACCCGGCUUGAGUCCUGGACAUGCGGAUUUCUAGAGUCAGGCAGGGGGAGGCAUCCGGCCUCUGGAAGGCUGGGCUUCAGGUAGUGAAGGCGGUGUGUCACUGCGGUGGUAUCUGGGAGGCGUGCCGAGCCUCUCCGUGUGCGCGUCCCCUCCAGAAAUCUCCACAUCCCCCUGCUUCUCUCUCCACCAGAGCCG
rnacentral:lncRNA from 1 species